CCAGGAUGAACGCUAGCGACAGGCCUAACACAUGCAAGUCAGGGGCAGCACAAGGAGCAAUCUGAGGUGGCGACCGGCGCACGGGUGAGUAACACGUAUGCAACCUGCCUGUAAGCGGGGAAUAACCCGUUGAAAGACGGACUAAUACCGCAUAAUACUAAAUUACUGCAUGGUAAUUUAUUUAAACAUUUAUGGCUUACAGAUGGGCAUGCGCAUGAUUAGCUAGUUGGAGAGGUAACGGCUCCCCAAGGCAACGAUCAUUAGGGGUUCUGAGAGGAAGGUCCCCACACUGGUACUGAGACACGGACCAGACUCCUACGGGAGGCAGCAGUGAGGAAUAUUGGUCAAUGGACGAGAGUCUGAACCAGCCAAGUCGCGUGCAGGAAGAAUGUCCUAAUGGAUUGUAAACUGCUUUUGCAGGGGAAUAAAGUGCAUCACGUGUGAUGUUUUGUAUGUACUCUGCGAAUAAGGAUCGGCUAACUCCGUGCCAGCAGCCGC
rnacentral:rRNA from 1 species